rnacentral:rRNA from 1 species
UACAGAGGUGGCAAGCGUUGUUCGGAUUUACUGGGCGUAAAGGGUGCGUAGGUGGUCGUUCGUGUCGGGCGUGAAAGCCCAAGGCUCAACCUUGGAAUGGCGCUCGAAACUGGACGACUUGAGUGCAGGAUGGGAGAGCGGAAUUCUUGGUGUAGCGGUGAAAUGCGUUGAUAUCAAGAAGAACACCGGUGGCGAAGGCGGCUCUCUGGAAUGCAACUGACACUGAGGCACGAAAGCUGGGGGAGCAAACAGG